rnacentral:rRNA from 1 species
CAGCAGCCGCGGGAAUACAGAGGGUGCGAGCGUUACUCGGAAUUACUGGGCGUAAAGCGUGCGUAGGUGGUGGUUUAAGUCCGUUGUGAAAGCCCUGGGCUCAACCUGGGAAUUGCAGUGGAUACUGGGUCACUAGAGUGUGGUAGAGGAUAGUGGAAUUUCCGGUGUAGCAGUGAAAUGCGUAGAGAUCGGAAGGAACAUCUGUGGCGAAGGCGACUAUCUGGGCCAACACUGACACUGAGGCACGAAAGCGUGGGGAGCAAACAGGAUUAGAUACCCCGGUAGUCCCUGUCUCUUAUAC